AGUCGAGGGGCAGCGCGGGGUAGCAAUACUCUGGCGGCGACCGGCGGAAGGGUGCGUAACACGUGAGCGACUUGCCCGAUACAGGGAGAUAACCGGUGGAAACGCCGACUAAUAUCCCAUAGGACUUGAGGCUGCAUGGCCUUGAGUUGAAAGGUUCGCCGGUAUCGGAUAGGCUCGCGGGACAUUAGCUUGAUGGCGGGGCAACGGCCCACCAUGGCGACGAUGUCUAGGGGUUCUGAGAGGAAGACCCCCCACACUGGGACUGAGACACGGCCCAGACUCCUACGGGAGGCAGCAGUGAGGAAUAUUGGUCAAUGGGCGGAAGCCUGAACCAGCCAUGCCGCGUGAAGGACUAAGGCCCUAUGGGUCGUAAACUUCUUUAGACGCAGAGCAAUAAGGGCCUCGCGAGGUCCGAUGAGAGUAUGCGUAGAAUAAGCAUCGGCUAACUCCGUGCCAGCAGCCGCGGUAAUACGGGGGAUGCGAGCGUUAUCCGGAUUUAUUGGGUUUAAAGGGUGCGUAGGCGGCGAAUUAAGUCAGCGGUGAAAGACCGGGGCUCAACCCUGGA
rnacentral:rRNA from 1 species